rnacentral:lncRNA from 1 species
UAUAUUGUAAUGCAUUAAAAUGUUUAAAAUAAUACUUUUAUUCAUGCUGUUGACAAUGUAAUAUGCAAAUUAGUGUUUCACUUAUACACUCAUCUACGUUUUCAUUCUGUCUUAUAACUUGAAACUACCAUGCCCAGAACUAAGCACAUUACUAGUGAGGAGGUUUGUAAAAUAUGGAAAUAUAGAUCGGAAGUGCUAAAUCAGACUGAAAUUGCUAAAAGAAUUGGAAGGAUACAACAAGCAAUCUCCAAAGUACUGGAAAAAGAUGGAAAUUUCAGUAAUAAACCAAGAUCUGGGAGACUGAAAGCAACAACGGCAAGGAUGGACAGAAAAAUAUUCCAUUUAGCUUCAACUCAAAU